GUUUUCAACAUUUAUCGCUAAUUUAUUAUAUUUAAAAGUGUUAGAAAAAUAGCGUCAUCUCCAACUUAUUACCGACAGUAUAUCACAACGACAGCAAACCCUUCAAACAAUGCCGAUAACGAUUACCAUUCUCACCGUUCAAAUUGUCGCGUACAAGAAGAGGGCGUGAAAGAGUCAGAAGGAACGGAUCGCGUGUCACGUGGUUCGCGAAAAAACAUACUCUGGUGGUUGUAUCCGUUUUUGCCGUAAACGCUGUCAAAUGAUUAGGUCCCAAUUCGAAGAAGUUUGUCACUGUCAGCAUUUGAUAUCGGAGGCAAUGACAUUGGAAUCUGGAGCGUCAACAUGAAGCUGAAGACGAAAUUAGACGGUAUCGUGCUUAGAAACAGUAGGACUCUAUUUAGAAAAAUGUUUAGUUGUUUUGUUUAAAGCAAAAAUUGAAGGCUCUACAAUCCUCGCAACUUUGUAACUUCGGCGACGAGAGGUCGACAAACAUGUCCAUGUACAUGGUUUUCCACGUACAAGUUUUUAUUGAACAAAAUUAUUUGUUAUCACCAAAUAUCUAAUAGAAGGCCCUCGUCCUGAACCCGGUUCCACCCUUAACGUUAAUACACCUUACGCAGGACGGUAUUGAUGUCUGAAAAUACGAGGAUAAGAAGAUCAAAGGUUCCGACAAGAGUAAGGCCGCUAUAAGAUUGCUCUGCUGUUGUUUCUCGAACACCCUGUACACUGGUCUGCGAGCACCGUCGCGAAAGAGCGGUGGAAACUGGCUUGUAUGCGAGAGCUUGGCGCCACACUGUCGCAUCCUAUAUACAGAAUCGCUCUCGCACCGACUACACGAGGAGCACAUACUUGGACGGAACACGUACGCACUGCGUGCCUACGGGGGAGAGAUAGAAAGACAGAUAGCGAGGGAGUUGCGGCCGAUUCUCGCAAGAGAACGGUAUCGUUCUCUUUGCUCAUUCUUCCUUGUAGUUCAUCUUCCGUUUCUUCUACGCUUCCCUUUAUUAAAUUUCCCCCUGUUCCCUAUUAGGUUGGCACGGGUGAAACGUUUAUGGUAACAGAGAAAAUCUAUUUGAAACGGUAAACGGUUAUUGAAAAUAGCCAAGACAUGGGGUAUUUGAGAUUAGGAGCAUUUGAGGAUAUCGCUGUAAAGUUUACAGUGUAAACGUGAGAUCGAGCCUAGCGUCCUGGUGGUUUCUCCGGUGCCACACCGGUAGAGACUCGAUGCUGCGUUAAUUAAGCGCAGCGAGGAAUCAGCAGACAAUUUGCUCUUCCUUCGAGUAACACGGCGUCGACGUCGUACUUGAUACCAGGGAGAUGGAUACGUAACACGACUACAUAGUAGAACAGGCAGCGAGCCAGCGAAUCGCCCAACCGACAAUCCAGUCGGCCAGACAGCAAGUCAACCGAGCAAUUAACGAGCAACAGAGAGCCACAUGGCAGAGAAAAAGGGAAGUGGAAAAUAAAGUAGAGUGAUUGGCGCGAUGCCUGGUUGGUGUAGAUGGGAAAUCGAAUGAUCGCUUUUUGCAAGAUUCGCGAGUAUUAAGUCAGUUAGAAACAUUUGUUUAAGUCUACCCAACGCAACUUUGAAUACCUCAGGUAAAUUACACAUCGCUAUCAUUUUUUAUGUGAACGCAAUAUCGCGAAGGGGAAGAUCUCCCCGAUCUGUCGGCAAUGCGUUAAGCAAUUUUCGUUUGGAAAAUUGAGUAUUUCGACGAGCACACCGGAGGAGGAUUCCUGUUCUCGUGGUCCAUAAACGGUAACGAUUCCGUCGAGGGCCACGUGUUCCAUCCCGCGACGAAAACCAUGCGUCCACGGCCGGAAGAAUCAUGGAGGGAGAACGGAGAGGGCAAGGGAAGGGAAUUGAAUCGCGAUGAGACGAGCGAGCAUGGUCUCAGAGGAGAUUGUUUUGCGCUCGGCUGUGUACCGCGAAUCACGCUUACCAGGAGACUGCGAACAAGGUCCGGGAGUAGAAGCAAGCGUGUACGCACGCAUUCGCGUAGGUCGUUCGACGUAGCGGCCGGCGACCGGCGACGGUCAGCUGGCGCCAACACUCUGGCAACCUCCCACCAGACAGUAUUUCGCCUCGUUAAUCUUGCUUUAUGGUCACCGGCUCUACCUAAAUUCCGCGACUGUUUUCGUCUCCCUAUGCUACGCCUGAUUCGCGAUUCGUAACUCGAGACACGGUAUUUCCGUGCAUCUCUCUCCCCUUCGGGCUUCGAUAUUUGUCAUCGGUAAACCUCGGGCUGAUCUUUAUUUUUUAUUUCGGAAUUGGAUACUAUUCAGUCGCUAAUGACUUUCCCGAAACGUAGUAAAAUUGCCCUUUGUAUGAAAAUUAUUAGUAUUAUCAAAUUACGACGUGAUUACCUUAAGAAUCUUCUUUGUGUGCCCCAAGUCGAAUGGUCCGUCUUACCAAUCCUGAUAGGGGCCUGACAAAGAGAGCCUCUUGGGGAAGAGUCAAAGCAUGGAAUUAGUCGUUGUCAAACGGUAAGAUCUUCUCGUCGAUGUCGAUGUCGACAUCGAUAUCGUUGCGAAUACCAACGAGCACGGUAAUUUUGUCGCGUUCUCUUUGUGCAGGAGUCGGGGGAGCCGCGCGCGUUCCAAGCAAGGAGCCGGUUAUUAUUCCCGGCGUGUAACCACCGAAAAUUAAGCGAUGCUCAUGAAAACGGGUAAACGCACCUGCGUUCCCACAGCAGGUGUACGCGUACAAUUUCUCGCCGUGUCGGUUCUGUUCGAUGCAGUGUGAAUGGCGACGAGUAUGCACCGCAGGCGUCCAUCGCGUUCCGUUUCUGAUUCGAUCGCGCCUCGAACGGCACUGCAUCUUAUACCGCGGUUUUCUCUUUGUAACAGUGGGACAUUUUCGCCGUUAGUACUCGAUUCGCCCCCAAUACCUAGAUAUACAUCUCUUAACCGACCUCUGAAUGUCUCGUUACCUAACAAUGAAUCAAGGUCUGAUUUCAGUGAAAAAUGGUCUCUCCGUCUCUGUUAUUUGCGCGAGCGUGAAACAGCACGAGUGCGAUACGAGUGUUGACAGGAAGAGGAAACGAAUUGAACGAGGCAAGUAAAACGACAAUCGCGAAAGCCAAGAGCAAAAACGAGACCACCGGGCACAGAAGGGCUGAUGUGUUUUUACGCACUCGAGUUCUCUCUCUUCUGGCGCGGCGCUACACGAUGCCCAUGUUAGGGAUGCCCUUGCACGGCGCAUAGUCGAUCGAGUGCAUGCAGCGUCCGCGUGACGCUCCGCUACGGACGAGGAGAAUCAAACAUCGUCGCGAGACGCGAUGAAAUUUAACGAGACGCGGAGAAACAUGGCGAAGCUGACCAAACCGAUGGCCAAGCAUCCGAGGCCGGUUUUCGAGAAGGUAGCUCGUCGCGAGUCGACGUCAUUGCCACCUGCUGCACGAAUAGUCUCGGGACGGACGGUGGACGAGCGAGCAAACUGGUAGGAAUGACGGCAAUGGUUUAAGCCCGGAAGGAAGGAAACAAAAUCGUUACUUUCACGAAUCAUUUUUUUUUUAUCUUCUUAUUUCCAUAUUCGAAGCUCACGGCUAUCAUUAACGCGACUCGAAGGCGAAGACACCUGCUCCACAGCCUAGUGGCAAGAAGAAAGAUUGGGUAUCAGUUCAAUUUAAUGAUGGUUAAUUAAAAAUAUCAUAUCCAAGGAUCUAUGUAUUUCUGUCUUAUGAGGUGUGUAUUAAGCGUUUCUCUGUCGCGGUACUGAUAACGAGAGUGAUUUUGCGCAGGUUGAGGUUGUACUCGACGAAUCUAGCGGCAACCGGUUGUAACUGCUGACAGAUGGAUUAGGAUA